rnacentral:lncRNA from 1 species
ACAAUUGCACCCUUGAACUCUAAUGUUUCUGCCCCAUGGAAUUUCCAGCAUAGAGGUAAGAUGUAGCCAAUUUUAAUUUUAUUUUACAAGAUUUGUCAAGAACUUGUUUAGUUGCUGAAAUGUUUGGGUAAGAUACCAUUAUAUUAAUAUUGCAUAUGUCAAAACUUCAGUGACAGACUUUGUUAGUACCUUGCUAGACCCUAAGAAAGGGUUGAUACUUUUAGUGUGGUUUCCAAUGGAUAGCAAGGUACUACGAGUCUGCGAUGAAUACCUUCUACAACAAGUAAAGAAAUAUGUGGUCCCAGAACACGAGCGCUAUUUCCAAAUUGUCACAAACAACAAACAUUACAUAAUAAUCAGCUUUUGAUAGAGAGAGUUGUUUUGAUUGUACUGGAACUUUAAUAUUAAUGUAUUGCCAGGUGGUUAAUUGUAAGGACGACCUUGUACAUUUCUACUUCUACCUGAUGGACUGCAUAAUCCAAGUCUUUGAUCAGUAAUUAGUACACUCAACAUUUAAGACUACAAACUAAUUCAAACAGUUUUAUGGAUUACUGCUUGAAAGAAAAUGUUUGUGAGACUUAAAAUCAAUAUAUAGUAUUCCUAAAGAUAAAAUCAAAUACUUUAUAUAGACUUCUUCAUGAUAGUUGAAAUGAGGAUCUGUUAGGAACUGAUCAGUGAUAACUGCUGACAAGGGAGACCAUAAAAGUUCUUUAUAAGCCUAAUGGAGCCUAUGCAUUAUAUGCUAGCGUCUUUCUAGAAGAAAUUAGUAAUGCAACCUAGCAGUUCCAACUCCAAAUACUCGUAGUUAACCCCAAUAAUAGAGUCAAUCUAGGUGUGUUUGACUGCUAGGAACUAGCAAAACUUUAAACUGAUGACACACCACAGGUUUGAAUGUUGGAUGAUUGAUUAAACACAUAUACAAACCAUAAGCGAUGUGCACUGUCACACAUUAGCAUUUAUCAGAAACUACCCUGCAAAAAAUAAGUAUUUGUCCAAAACAGAACACGACUUCAGAGAUCUCACCACUGCCAAAGCCACCUCCCUGGGAGGCAACUCCAAAACCACCACCAGAUGAAGCUGCACCAAGCAAAACCACCACUUUUGGAAGCAAGAGCAGCAAAACCUCCACGAGUUGCAGCGGUGGCAAAACCAAUACCUGCAGAAGCAGUUGGUGUGGUGCUGAAAAGCCCCCACCUGAUACAACACCAGCAUAUCCAGCAUUACCUGAAGAUAAAGAAGUAAAACAACCAGAUGCAUGUAGGGUAAAUGUUUUUUAUCAUCCAUAAACGGCUGAACAGACUGAGCGUCUUAACCAUUUGAGGUGCUCUAUGUAUACUUUCUUCGGCAGCUGGACACUGCAAAUUUGCAGGUGUGUUCUGUCCCAGAUCUGGAACAGUGGCUGAUGAAGCGUGAGUGUUACUGUCUGUCUCAGUUGAUUCAAGCAACAGCUAGCGCGCUCACAACAACACAUGAUGUCCCAGUUGGAUAAGGACCGCAGACCGCUCUGAAUUAGAGAUUCAGGAUGGCAAUUCAAUGUUUCUCAAACUAGCCAGUUCUUAUAGAAUUGAACAGGAAAAAGACACCAUGGGAGUAAUUCAUGCAUAUAAAAAGUGUACUUUACAAAUUCAGUUAUAAUUACUCCCAUGGUGUCUGCUAUACCAUUCUUUCGGCACAUGUGUGAAGCUUCAGUGCUGCUUUAGUUAUGGUAAUCUGCAAAAGCUAUUUAGGGUUAAUCCUUGUUGCAUAUUGGGAUAUGAUCCCCCUUUAAUCCAAGCUUGACAUCAACUGUAUUUUCUUGGUCGUCGUUCUGUUGAACAUCAUGUCUUGAUUUAUAGAGCCGAAAGCAAUGUCUCACUGCAUUUUAUGGUUUUAUAUUUAAAGAUAUUGAUGAUUUGGUCUGUAGUUCUAUAAUUUCAGGUGGGGUUUGAAACCAAAUGUUUAGCUGUUAUGAAUGCUUGUUUGGUUUCUUAUCUCAAAUUGGCUCUUUAUCACGUAUUAAAAGCAUAUGGCAUUAUUAGGAUGUUGGGUGUUUGAUUGGUUCCGCUGUGAGGAUCUGUACAUGCUUUCGACGCAUAAUUUUCUCUCUUUUUUCUACUUUUUGUUAUUUUCUCUGGUUCUUUUUUCCAUUUUACUUUGUUGGAUCUUAUUCUUUUCUCUAAGUUCAGAACCGUUACAUCUCCUAGCAGGCUACACCCACAAAGCUCGGAGGGGGUUGGAGGAAAGCCUGGAGUCCGGAGAGGUCGCCGCCUAGAGGUCUCGACCGCUGCCGCCUGGAGCUUCUCUCACCGUCUGUGAUGCCCAGGAUCCCCUCCCUUGCCGCUGCCGUGGGCACGCGGCCACAAGCCCAGACUUAGCAGGCGGGCGACAGGACGACACAGAGUAGCAGGUCACCGCGGUCGCGUGCCCUCGAGCCCGGACUCAAAACAGACGUCUGCGACAUUCACUCUAACAUGUGAACUGAGGGCGUCGUCGCGGGGGUGGGGUCGACGUUGCAACUGCUGCUGCGCAGACAACCUUUCCUCUCUUCGCCUUAUCUCAUCCCGACGGAGGCAGCUUGGGGCGCAUCCAACCCUGUUCAGAUUCAUAUAUCAUUUUCUAAACAUUUAAAAUCCACUGCCGAUGACGAUUAAGUUUAUGGUUAUUUGUUGCAG